AUCGCUUCUCGGCCUUUUGGCCAAGAUCAAAGUGUAGUGUUAUGCUCUUCGCCUUGGUUUUAGGCAAAAUAUUUGAGUACAAGUAUCCGGCUUUAUGCGUUUGUGAGAACGACUCAAUUUAUCGCCACUAGUGGGAAUCGAGCUCUA
rnacentral:snRNA from 1 species